CCUACGGGAGGCAGCAGUGAGGAAUAUUGGUCAAUGGACGAGAGUCUGAACCAGCCAAGUAGCGUGAAGGAUGACUGCCCUAUGGGUUGUAAACUUCUUUUAUAUGGGAAUAAAAUGUUCCACGUGUGGGAUUUUGUAUGUACCAUAUGAAUAAGGAUCGGCUAACUCCGUGCCAGCAGCCGCGGUAAUACGGAGGAUCCGAGCGUUAUCCGGAUUUAUUGGGUUUAAAGGGAGCGUAGGUUGAUUGUUAAGUCAGUUGUGAAAGUUUGCGGCUCAACCGUAAAAUUGCAGUUGAAACUGGCAGACUUGAGUACAGUAGAGGUGGGCGGAAUGCGUGGUGUAGCGGUGAAAUGCUUAGAUAUCACGAAGAACUCCGAUUGCGAAGGCAGCUCACUGGACUGCAACUGACACUGAGGCUCGAAAGUGUGGGUAUCAAACAGGAUUAGAUACCCUUGUAGUC
rnacentral:rRNA from 1 species